rnacentral:rRNA from 1 species
AGUGAACGCUGGCGGUAGGCCUAACACAUGCAAGUCGAACGGCAGCACAGUAAGAGCUUGCUCUUACGGGUGGCGAGUGGCGGACGGGUGAGGAAUACAUCGGAAUCUACUUUUUCGUGGGGGAUAACGUAGGGAAACUUACGCUAAUACCGCAUACGACCUACGGGUGAAAGCAGGGGAUCUUCGGACCUUGCGCGAUUGAAUGAGCCGAUGUCGGAUUAGCUAGUUGGCGGGGUAAAGGCCCACCAAGGCGACGAUCCGUAGCUGGUCUGAGAGGAUGAUCAGCCACACUGGAACUGAGACACGGUCCAGACUGCUACGGGAGACAGCAAUUAGGAAUAUUAGACAAUGGGCGCAAACCUUAUCCAGCCAUACCGCGUUGGUGAAGAAGACCUUCGGGUUGUAAAGCCCUUUUAUUGGGAAAAAAAAGCAGCAGAUUAAUACCCCGCUGUUCUGAGGGUACCCAAAAAAUAGGCACCGGCUAGCUUCGUG